GUCUCGCUGUAUUGCUCAGGCUGCACUGCAGUGUCUAUUCUCAGGUGCGAUCCCACUACUGAUCGGCACGGGGGCUUUGACCUGCUCCGUCUCCGACCUGGGCCGGUUCACCCCUCCUUAGACGACCUGGUGGUCCCGAGUUCCCCCAGUAGCACCAUAUCGAUACCGAACUUAGUGCGGACACCCGAUCGACAUAGUCCACUGCAGCCCAGAAGCCCUGAGCUCAAGCGAUCCGCCAGCCUCAGCCUCCCAGUAGCUUGGAUUACAGGCUCCGCCACUGAACCCGGCGAGAGCCAAGCGUCUCAGCGCUGCUGCUCAACCUGCUGCUCAUAGCGCCCUCUAGUGCAGAUAAACACAACACUACACUCACAUUAGCUGCCUGAGCAGAGCCAACUAGAACUGAAAUCGGAGGAAUUGUAUUCCAUGUGGAAAGAGAGGAGCUCCAGUAUGCUCAGAGAAAGCUUGUGAGAAAUAAUAACUAAAGACUGAAAGUUCAAUGACAACGCCAGGUCGACCUGAAGAGGAUGACAGGCAGCGGACGAAAACAGCCAGAUGUGCCUAAACUAAAUAAACAUCAUCAUCUGGCCACACUUUUGACAGUAUUGUGCACUGAAGUGAGGGACUACAGGGAUGGAGUAUUAAGAAUUAUU